CCCGAACAUUUUCCAUCCUGGGAAAAAGCACAGAUACUUCUCGUGCGUGUCUGCCGAGUGGACUGUGGAAACAAGUGUGAGUCCUCGUCAGAGGGCAUGACGAGCAGUAUCAUGUGUCUGUCUAAGAUACGGUGCUGCCUCGCGGCAGGUAUGUGCCAUUCGAUCCUGCAGCAUCGGCGAUGAGUACAUGCCUGCAUUUUAUCUCAUCAGAUGUUGUGGACGCUGCUUUGUAGUUGGAUGCCCAUGCGCAAAACGGCGCCGCCGCUUAGAACGUCCGGUAGUCCUCCUUCGUGCGAAUAUUUUACUUUUGUGCAGCGGUUCUGCGCUGGAGGGUAUGCUCUGGUAUGCUCUCUCUUGUCAGAGCCUGGACGAAAUUGCCCGAGUUGUGCUUUGCGGAAACACCUUCAGUCAAAAGGGGCUUCAGGCACACCUUUGAAGAGCUCAUCGCAUGCCUCAGUCCGUGGUCAUUGCGCUAAGAAAUGGUAUCGGACGGCUCCUUGAUGGCACGAAGUACAGAACCGUAAACUUAAGCAAGCAGGACAAUGGGGCCGCGGCACACUGCCACAGAAUUUGCAACGGAAGGAGCGUUGAAAGGAUCAACUAGAAACAGAAACACUUUUCUCAUGGAAAAGCCCCCUGCUCUACAUGCUCAGGAACUCUUGCCGUAGGGCAGCAACGAACAGAAGCAUUCGCUGCUCUCAUACAGCAGAGGUGGACGUUCUUGUUGCGGGAGCCUGCGAUCGGUAUGCGCCACGGAACGAGGAAGGGACUGAGGAACUGCUAGACACGAACAGAGAAUUUGGAAACGCUCAGCGUCAGGUCAAAAGAAGCCCCAACAGACUGCAGGUGCCCUACAGGGGCCGUGAUGUAAUACAGGUCAAACUUAGUGACACCUACUGCUUUCGCGUCCAGAUGAUGAAGAAAGUGGUGGGUAGUAACUUCCGGUUGGAGCGGGCGUGGCGAGUUUCCUACGAAUGACAGCGAGGUUAUGUCAGGAUGACUCCGUGACGACGCACCCAAGAAUGUAUAUCUGUUUUGCCUUCAACUAGCCUCCUCAGCACUAGUCGAUGAGGUCCAUGCGCAGCACGUUUCAAACCCUCCUUGGACAGAGUCGGACUGCUUUCCGUGACAACCGCCAAAACUUGAAGUCCCACGUUCAGUGUGUAAACGUCUGAUGGGCAUUUUGUCGAACCAGGAACGUUCACCUUCAGCCGGUGUCCGCUGCUAGAGAUCAUUAUAAAGCCUUUCGUUGCAAAGCACAUGCGGCUCUCCCAAUGCAGCCUGGAUCCUCCCAUUGUUUCUCUCCGAUCUCCGACGGGUGACGGCACUAUUACCAUGAUACUCACUUUGGUAAUCUCCCUGCUGCACGGUGGGGUAGUGCUUAUGUCGCGAUGCUAACUCGUUGACUGUAAAAUUGGGGCUGGAGAGUGUAACCGUGCUCGUAACUCUGGUAUGAAUCGAAGCGUGCAUGAGAGGGGGCAACUGUCCGUUACUGGGUCGUCAUUGCAACCUCUAUGAACCGCUACAAUGCAG
rnacentral:lncRNA from 1 species